rnacentral:tRNA from 1 species
GCCCGGAUAGCUCAGCUGGUAGAGCACUUCCAUGGUAAGGAAGGGGUCGUCGGUUCGAGUCCGACUUCGGGCU